rnacentral:precursor_RNA from 1 species
AUGUAUACCCGUGAAUCUGGCAUUCCUAUUGGUAUUCCUAUUAGGGUCGUGAAGAAUUCUCACAUCCAGACACAUAAUUCACUCAAUAACAUCCACAAAAAACAGAAUUCAAAGCUGAAAGAAGCGAGCCGAUGAAAGAGAGAGCGAAACCCAAUCAGAUUGAGGAGGCGGCGGCUUCCAAAACGAAAAUGUUGUUGACCCUUUGUAUUCUUCCACAGCUUUCUUGAACUGCAUUUUUCAGACUACUGGUGUGUUUUUGUAUGCACUCAAAGUCAUUGUAACAGUUGCGGUUCAAUAAAGCUGUGGGAAGAUACCAACAGAGGGUCAUCUGUAAAAAAGACGACGACGACGACGACGACGAUGAUGACGGAGAUGGGUUCAUACAGAAAGCUUCUCAAGGAGAGAGAAAUGGAAGGAGAAGAGGAGAGAUGAGGAGAAGUGUGGAGGCUCACAGAAGGGAGAGGGGCCGUAUUUAUAGGAGAAUUGAGGUCUUUUACCACCAAUCCCAAGAAGAAUAUUA